UACGUAGGGGGCAAGCGUUGUCCGGAUUCAUUGGGCGUAAAGCGCGCGUAGGCGGCUCCGCAAGUCGGCCGUGAAAUCUCCAGGCUCAACUUAGAGGGGUCGGGCGAGACUGCGGAGCUCGAGGUGGGCAGAGGGCAGUGGAAUUCCGGGUGUAGUGGUGGAAUGCGUAGAGAUCCGGAGGAACACCAGUGGCGAAGGCGGCUGCCUGGGCCUGGCCUGACGCUGAGGCGCGAAAGCGUGGGGAGCGAUCCGG
rnacentral:rRNA from 1 species